rfam:Alligator mississippiensis ScZkoYb_379, whole genome shotgun sequence.
AGAUCAACCUGGCAGGGGAGACCACGGGGUCACGAAUGUGAUUUCCCGGGGUGAGGCCGGCCCUGUGCACUCCGGGCAGGCUGACCCCUGUGAGUUUCCCCACAUCCGGGAAAUGACUGCACAGUUUUGUGGCAAUGGGGAGCUGUGUUCUUGCUUUCCCCCU